GCGGUGCUAGUCUAGUCUGGUUAGGACAUAGCCUUGCCAAGGCUAUAAGGCGGGUUCAAAUCCCGCGCACCGCA
rnacentral:tRNA from 1 species